AUUUAAACGAAGAUUUAUUUAUUGUCCAUCAAAAGAAAUGGUAUAAAAUGGAACAUUGCAUAUCCAGUAAGGUGCAUAUUUCAAGAUGCAUAAGUAUAUCAUCCUUUUGAGCUUUCUUGUUCUCCUGGCAGGAGUAAAUGUACAUGGUCAGGGAGGAGAAUGUCCCUUCGGACUUUAUCCUGUUAGUUACACAGCUUGUCAACACACCUUCCAUUGUCCAAGGGGAGCAUUUUGCUUUUUCAGUCGCCCUUGGAGGCAGCACGGUGUGUGUUGUCCCUACUUUUGGAACAGAAUGUGAUUUGCAUAUGCCGAUCAUCAGGAAUGACUAAACAACGAAUUGUUUCAUUAACUAGGAAAUAAAGUGGAACAAUUUUCUG